rnacentral:rRNA from 1 species
UACGGGGGGAGCAAGCGUUGUUCGGAUUUACUGGGCGUAAAGGGCGCGUAGGCGGCCACCGCAAGUCGACUGUGAAAUCUCCGGGCUUAACCCGGAAAGGUCAGCCGAUACUGCGGGGCUAGAGUGCAGAAGGGGCAACUGGAAUUCUCGGGUGUAGCGGUGAAAUGCGUAGAUAUCGAGAGGAACACCUGCGGCGAAGGCGGGUUGCUGGGCUGACACUGACGCUGAGGCGCGAAAGCUAGGGGAGCGAACGGG